rnacentral:misc_RNA from 1 species
AAAGCCAUCAAGCCUGGCUUGGUCUUGGGCGCGGUCUCAGGACCCGCCCGCAACCCGUCGGCGGUGCCGGCCCGGCCCUGAGCGUAGCAAGACUCUCGCUCGGGGGCCGCGGCGGCGCCAGCCGAGAGCACACCUCAAG